rfam:Haemonchus placei strain MHpl1 genome assembly, scaffold: HPLM_scaffold0005005
GACACAAACUUGAAGUAUAGUAGUUUAGUAGGGUCAGCCGAUCCUACUAUUCCACUCUAUUUCGUACUUGAGUCC